rnacentral:rRNA from 1 species
AUACGUAGGGUGCGAGCGUUGUCCGGAAUUACUGGGCGUAAAGAGCUCGUAGGUGGUUUGUCGCGUCGUCUGUGAAAUUCCGGGGCUUAACUCCGGGCGUGCAGGCGAUACGGGCAUAACUUGAGUACUGUAGGGGAGACUGGAAUUCCUGGUGUAGCGGUGAAAUGCGCAGAUAUCAGGAGGAACACCGGUGGCGAAGGGGGGUCUCUGGGAAGUAACUGACGCUGAGGAGCGAAAGCAUGGGUGGCGAACAGGAUUAGAUACCCUGGUAGUCCAUGCCGUAAACGGUGGGCGCUAGGUGUAGGGGUCUUCCACGACUUCUGUGCCGUAGCUAACGCAUUAAGCGCCCCGCCUGGGGAGUACGGCCGCAAGGCUAAAACUCAAAUGAAUUGACGGGG